CACCGCAGCACUGUGGGUAAUGUAGUCCUCGCGCCAUUAGCUGAGCCGGCUGUCGAGGGUGGGAAUAAGCCUGGAAGGGCAGGCCCGCGAGAUGCAUUGUGGACAACGUAGUCCUCGAACCCCUGGCCGACUACCUGUAAGCGCGUGGGAAAGAGACCGCGUGGGCGGGACCACAGGAAGCAUUAUGGGUAUCGUAGUCCUUGCACCUUCAGUGAGUAGGCGGGCGUUUCGAGGUCCCGUAGCUUUUGGGCCAUGCUACCCGUGUCGCCUCCAUACGCCCUCCCCUAGCCUGAGAAAGGUCCACGGUGGGAGGGGAUUUUGUAAAUUUACGUUUCUACUUACAUAGUACUUUGUAUGUACCCGGCUCUGUUUUAAAUACUUUGCAAUUUAUUAACAGUUCAUCCUUGAAACAAAGAUGGGAGGUAGGUACUAUUAGCAAUAUUUUAUAGAUGAGGAAAGGAGGCAGAGAGGUUCAGUGACCAGACCAAGGUCACACACACUCAGUAAGUGGAGAGCUGGGGUGAGGUUGGAAUCCAGGCAUCUGUCCUAGUCCAACUCUUUAAUUUUAGAGACUAAGAAGUGAAGACCCAGAAAGUUACUUAUUUGGGGCAUCUUGGAUACCAAUGGCUGAUUUCUUUUAUUUGUUAAUUUAAUCAACAAAUACUGGGCUCUGCUUUGUAACAGGCAGGCACCAUGAACAGGAAGUGAACUAGACAAAUGGUCCCUGGUGUUGCUGUCCAGACUGGAGAAAACUAAGCCCCUGGCCCUUUAAGCAGUGGUUAUGGAGUCUACAAGACCGUUUGAGUUAAAAUGGCAGCCUCCUACUCACAGAAGUUUGCAAGCAACUGAGCGACCCACACAUAUGCUUCUCGGAAGACAGAGGGGAAGUUCCCUUCAGACUGAUGCCAUGGUUCCAUCGUCACAGACAAGGCAUCGAUUCAGCUCACAUUUGCUCUUGGUGUUUAACUGUGGCAGGGAAAAGAGGGUUUACAAUCAAGCUCUCCAGAAGUUGUCAUCUUUGGUAGCAAUUUCUCAGUAUCCAAAUGAGGAAGAAACAAAAAUUCAAUAUACAAGUCAAAUAGUUUAGCUAAUUUGACUAAAUUAUCUAAGAGAGUCGUCAUGGAGCUACUAUGCCCCAAAACUGAUAUAUAAUGGGUGUUUUGUUACACUUUUUAUAAGGCCUCUAUGAGCUAAUAAUAAAACCUAAUGUUUUUAAAGCA